UACAGCCAUAUCACGUUGAUACAGCGGUUCUUGUACGACCACCGAAGUUAAGCAACGUCGAGCCUGAUCAGUACCUACAUGGGUGAUCGCUUGGGAAUACCAGCUACUGUAAG